AUGACACCAGGAAGCAGCUAAGCUGAGACGAGUACUGGCGCAGGGUGAUUCGUCUUCCAGCUUCACACCUGGAAAUCCUUUCUGAUCCAGCAAUGCGGGAACCAGCAUCCUGGGAAACACGAGCACUGCGCAUCAAACUAUUCGUCACCCCCAAAUCCUGGCUAGGAGGAUGGAAAAUAAGACACACAUGUCCUACAAAACACUGGUGGCUCUGAGACCUGUGUAAUGGAUAUUACCCUUGACUCUGCAAUUAUUAAACUCCAUCCAUACUAAAUAACAGCCUGUGGCUUGGAGACUUCAGCUCAGCUUAAAAGUAAGUGGUUCAGGAAUGGAAGCACGAACCACACCUGUCUAAAGAGAUAUAAGAGAGGACCACUGGAGGCUUCUGGGAAAAGUCCCCUAUUCUUACAAGCAGCAACAGGAAGCCAGGAUAUGUCUGACUCUAGAUGAUCCUAAAGAGGACGCAGACGGGUCCACAUGCAGCAGUCAUCCGGAGUCAAGGAGAACAAUCACAGAAUGAAGUUGUCAUUGUGAAAGGCAGAGCAGACAGAUGGAAACAACCCAGGUUACUGAUCACACUGCUCACCUGUUAGAUGAACCAACACUGAUCCACUCUGUCUCAGGGUGCCAAUUUAUGUCAACCAAUAAAUUUCCUUAUUGUU